AACGUAGGUGGCGAGCGUUAUCCGGAUUUACUGGGCGUAAAGCGUGUGCAGGCGGGUGGUCAAGUGGUGUAUGAAAGCACUGCGCUCAACGCAGUGACCGUAGGCCAGACUGACUAUCUGGAGGGCGAGAGAGGGGCGUGGAAGUUCCGGGUGUAGUGGUGAAAUGCGUAGAGAUCCGGAGGAACCCCAGAGGCGAAGGCGGCGCCCUGGCUCGCACCGUGACGCUCAGACACGACAGCAUGGGGAGCGAACGGG
rnacentral:rRNA from 1 species